rnacentral:rRNA from 1 species
CUACGUGCCAGCAGCCGCGGUAAUACGGAAGGUCCGGGCGUUAUCCGGAUUUAUUGGGUUUAAAGGGAGCGUAGGCCGGAGAUUAAGUGUGUUGUGAAAUGUAGACGCUCAACGUCUGACUUGCAGCGCAUACUGGUUUCCUUGAGUACGCACAACGUUGGCGGAAUUCGUCGUGUAGCGGUGAAAUGCUUAGAUAUGACGAAGAACUCCGAUUGCGAAGGCAGCUGACGGGAGCGCAACUGACGCUUAAGCUCGAAGGUGCGGGUAUCGGACAGGAUUAGAUACCCUGGUAGUCCGCACAGUAAACGAUGGAUGCCCGCUGUUGGUACCUGGUAUCAGCGGCUAAGCGAAAGCAUUAAGCAUCCCACCUGGGGAGUACGCCGGCAACGGUGAAACUCAAAGGAAUUGACGGGGGCCCGCACAAGCGGAGGAACAUGUGGUUUAAUUCGAUGAUACGCGAGGAACCUUACCCGGGCUUGAAUUGCAGAGGAAGGAUUUAGAGAUA